AUUGAACGCUGGCGGCAGGCCUAACACAUGCAAGUCGAACGAGUGGCGGACGGGUGAGUAAUGUCUGGGAAACUGCCUGAUGGAGGGGGGUAACUACUGGAAACGGUAGCUAAUACCGCAUACCAUUGGAUGUGCCCAGCUGGGAUUAGCUAGUAGGUGGGGUAACGGCUCACCUAGGCGACGAUCCCUAGCUGGUCUGAGAGGAUGACCAGCCACACUGGAACUGAGGCACGGUCCAGACUCCUACGAGAGGCAGCAGUGGGAAAUGUUGCACAAUGGGCACAAGCCUGAUGCAGCCGUGCCGCGUGUAUGAAGAAGGCCUUCGGGUUGUAAAGUACUUUCAGCGCGGAGGCGUUACCCGCAGAAGAAGCACCGGCUAACUCCGUGCCAGCAGCCGCGGUAAUUC
rnacentral:rRNA from 1 species